rnacentral:rRNA from 1 species
UAUUGCACAAUGGGCGCAAGCCUGAUGCAGCCAUGCCGCGUGUGUGAAGAAGGCCUUCGGGUUGUAAAGCACUUUCAGUCAGGAGGAAAGGUUAGUAGUUAAUACCUGCUAGCUGUGACGUUACUGACAGAAGAAGCACCGGCUAACUCCGUGCCAGCAGCCGCGGUAAUACGGAGGGUGCGAGCGUUAAUCGGAAUUACUGGGCGUAAAGCGUACGCAGGCGGUUUGUUAAGCGAGAUGUGAAAGCCCCGGGCUCAACCUGGGAACUGCAUUUCGAACUGGCAAACUAGAGUGUGAUAGAGGGUGGUAGAAUUUCAGGUGUAGCGGUGAAAUGCGUAGAGAUCUGAAGGAAUACCGAUGGCGAAGGCAGCCACCUGGGUCAACACUGACGCUCAUGACGAAG